GUCUACGGCCAUGCCCCAAACAAGCCCGAUCCCAUCUGAUCUCGGAAGCUAAGCAGGAUCGGGCCUGGUUAGUACUUUGAUGGAAGACCACCUAGGAAGACCAGGUGCUGUAGGCA
rnacentral:rRNA from 1 species